rnacentral:rRNA from 1 species
UACAGAGGGUGCGAGCGUUAAUCGGAAUUACUGGGCGUAAAGCGCGCGUAGGCGGCUUCGCAAGUCGGGUGUGAAAUCCCCAGGCUUAACCUGGGAACUGCAUUCUAGACUGCAUUGCUAGAGUAUGGGAGAGGGAAGUGGAAUUUCCGGUGUAGCGGUGAAAUGCGUAGAUAUCGGAAGGAACAUCAGUGGCGAAAGCGACUUCCUGGACCAAUACUGACGCUCAUGUGCGAAAGCGUGGGGAGCAAACAGG